rnacentral:lncRNA from 1 species
AACAAAGCACACAACUGCUGAACUACACUGAAACUUAAUCAUUUAUGACCUCACAUGCCAACAGCCUCACACAUUCUGCAGCACUGAACACAGCUACUAGUCAAUGACUCACCAACAAUAGUGAUAUCAUCUUUUUCUUUCAGAUAAUAACCUUAUUUUCAUUACUUCCAAUUAAUCGAAGAAGGUCAGGCCAAAUGAAUUUCAGAGUUGGGGAGUUGAUUGACAAGGUACAUGAAUGAAUGGAAGGAAAGGGGGGCUUAUUCUGCUGGUGGAUCAACAAGAAAUUUCUAACGACGGUCACCGAUUAAUGGCUACUGCUACAUGUACACAAUUUGAAUGGAUACUUACAUGGCAAUAUUGAAUCGGAGGACAAAAGAAUGGUGUGGGCCAGUGAAAACAAUCACAGCCUUUUUCUUAUCAUUGUUCGGUAAAUUUUCCAUGUCCA